rnacentral:rRNA from 1 species
CGGCGUGCUUACCAUGCAAGUCGAACGGAAAGGCCCUUCGGGGUACUCGAGUGGCGAACGGGUGAGUAACACGUGGGUGAUCUGCCCUGCACUCUGGGAUAAGCCUGGGAAACUGGGUCUAAUACCGGAUAGGACCACACACUUCAUGGUGAGUGGUGCAAAGCUUUUGCGGUGUGGGAUGAGCCCGCGGCCUAUCAGCUUGUUGGUGGGGUAAUGGCCCACCAAGGCGACGACGGGUAGCCGGCCUGAGAGGGUGACCGGCCACACUGGGACUGAGAUACGGCCCAGACUCCUACGGGAGGCAGCAGUGGGGAAUAUUGCACAAUGGGCGCAAGCCUGAUGCAGCGACGCCGCGUGAGGGAUGACGGCCUUCGGGUUGUAAACCUCUUUCAGUAGGGACGAAGCGAAAGUGACGGUACCUACAGAAGAAGGACCGGCCAACUACGUGCCAGCAGCCGCGGUAAUACGUAGGGUCCGAGCGUUGUCCGGAAUUACUGGGCGUAAAGAGCUCGUAGGUGGUUUGUCGCGUUGUUCGUGAAAACUCACAGCUUAACUGUGGGCGUGCGGGCGAUACGGGCAGACUAGAGUACUGCAGGGGAGACUGGAAUUCCUGGUGUAGCGGUGGAAUGCGCAGAUAUCAGGAGGAACACCGGUGGCGAAGGCGGGUCUCUGGGCAGUAACUGACGCUGAGGAGCGAAAGCGUGGGUAGCGAACAGGAUUAGAUACCCUGGUAGUCCACGCCGUAAACGGUGGGUACUAGGUGUGGGUUUCCUUCCUUGGGAUCCGUGCCGUAGCUAACGCAUUAAGUACCCCGCCUGGGGAGUACGGUCGCAAGACUAAAACUCAAAGGAAUUGACGGGGGCCCGCACAAGCGGCGGAGCAUGUGGAUUAAUUCGAUGCAACGCGAAGAACCUUACCUGGGUUUGACAUGCACAGGACGUACCUAGAGAUAGGUAUUCCCUUGUGGCCUGUGUGCAGGUGGUGCAUGGCUGUCGUCAGCUCGUGUCGUGAGAUGUUGGGUUAAGUCCCGCAACGAGCGCAACCCUUGUCCUAUGUUGCCAGCGGGUAAUGCCGGGGACUCGUAGGAGACUGCCGGGGUCAACUCGGAGGAAGGUGGGGAUGACGUCAAGUCAUCAUGCCCCUUAUGUCCAGGGCUUCACACAUGCUACAAUGGCCAGUACAGAGGGCUGCGAAGCCGCAAGGUGGAGCGAAUCCCUUAAAGCUGGUCUCAGUUCGGAUUGGGGUCUGCAACUCGACCCCAUGAAGUCGGAGUCGCUAGUAAUCGCAGAUCAGCAACGCUGCGGUGAAUACGUUCCCGGGCCUUGUACACACCGCCCGUCACGUCAUGAAAGUCGGUAACACCCGAAGCCAGUGGCCUAACC